CCCACUUUACAAAUAGGUGAACUGAGUCACACAUUCACAGGACGUGGAGAAGUAGGGACUCGGGAUCUCAAGAUCCUCUGCUUAAACGCUGGCUCCCUUUUCUGCUCGGAGGUUUUGAAGAACCAACGAACGCCACGAGGACAGAGCUCUAGGGUCUGACCUCGUUCCCUCCAACUGCUCUCCAGUUUUGUGCGUCUGAGCUUGGGUUUAGCAUUUAUCCCGCGUCCUUGCCCGGCGCUCCCGUUGCCAACGCCACAGUCUCUUAGGGUUCGCCGCGGAUCGCCCCAGUGAGUGUCCCUACGAAAACGCUCCGUCCGGUGAGACUUCCGGUGGUGCUCCCGACGGAUUCAGAGCGUGCCCUCCAUCCUCGGGGAGACCCAUCACAGCACACGCAAGCCAUACCUGGGAACCCCGUCAUGGUCCGCCGUGCAUCCCCAAGACGUCGGUCUGCAAAGCCCCGAGAAGAAGCUUGGAUGUCAAUCCUAUUGAGCUGGCAGAACUAAGGCGUGCAGCUGGGGAGGAAGUCUUGACCCCUGGAAAUGACCCCUGUCCCCUGCCUUAGAGUUCCCUCCAUGCCUCAGCGUGAUGCAGGGAUGGGGGUGGGGAGGAAGACUCUGGGGCUUUAAGACUCUGGCCCUUACCCUAGAUCAACAGGUGACUACAGAUGACAGCUGUUGACCGAGGCUCCUCUCUACCGGACCUGAGCUAACACAUCUACCACCCACCUUAUCUCCUUUCAUCCUUACAGCAAACCUUUGAGCUAGGGCUCCGCGGCCCACCCCUUGCUCCUGCUGAAGCCCCAGGACCCCAGAAGGAAGAUGGGAGACCUCGAAGCCCUGUGAUGCGGUGCCACGCCGUCCUCCCAGCUGUCUCCAUCAGCACAUUCGGGGGACCAAGGCUCGAGCCAGCCAGGUCUCCCCUCCAGCACCUUGAGGGGCCGGAAGAGGGCCCCUGCUCUCUGGACAGAGCCUGCACAACAGCCUGAUUGGUUUUCACACUGGUUGGGCAGGGGCAGCGAGAUCCUCUUGUCUGGUAGUGUGGAAGGAGUGCGUGUGAGUGUGUGGAAGUGUGUUUUGAGUGACGGACAAGAUCCCUGCCCUUCUGAAGCUUUCAGUCGAGUGGGGGAGACAGGAACAAGCAAGGAGACCAGUACGAGAUCAGGUUAUCCUCGUUCAGUUGUAAGUGCUGGGAAGGCACUAGGCUGAUGGGAUGGCGAGUGCCCGGAGGUGGCUGCUUCAGACACGGUGGCCAGGGAAGGCCUCCUGAAGAGUGACAUUUCAGCUGAGCUCUAACUGCUGCAGCGAGAUCUGCAGGAAAGGGUUCUAGACAGGGAGACUGACGGGGCAAAGGCCCUGCAGUGGGCUGAGCUUGGCAUGCUUGGAGAACAGCAAAAAGCGUACAAGAGGGCAAGUCAUAGGGAACGAGGCCAGAUGGUAUUGAGACCAAAUUGGGCUUAGUAGGCCACUGGUAACAUUUUGGAUUUUACUCUGCAAAGGGAAGCUGUUUAGUCCUCACAGCAAACCCUAUGCGGUAGGAACUAUCCCCAUUUUACAGAUUUGGAAAACGAGGUUCAGAUGGCUUGAAUGACCCACCAAGGUCACACAGCUCAUACGUGGUGGAGUCUGGAAUGGAACCCAAGUCUGACUCUGCUGGGUUGUUCCUAAAGGCACGGCCAGGUCUCUCAGUGCCCCCUCCCCUCCUCAGGUGUGAAAUCCAGGUCACUGGGCCGCAGAGAUCCUGGGGCCCAGCCCAAGCCUCCUGAAGCUACCAGGCUUCCCCAGGGAGGAGAACGACGGUUGGGAACCUGCUUCCCCCCUCAAGGACCCAGCUCCCCAGCCCAGAGCUGUGUGGCCUGAGAAGGUGAUUAAAGUUUUACAGCCAUCUUGAUUGCCCAGCGAUAGUGAAGGGCCCUGCUCUCCAGGAAAGGAUCCAUUUCCCCAGCUCUGCGUUCAUUCCACUCCUAAGUGCCUUCCUUCCCCAGGAGGCCCAGGGGAGACCGGCUCCCCAGGCAGCCACCAUGCAGGCUGGACCCGAGCAGCUUCCCCCCCCCCCCACACACACACACGUGCACACCCAGGCUCCCUGGCUAGUAUUCUCCUUUUACAGUAGUUUUUUCAAGAUAACCGUUUCCUGCUCCUCAGUUUAGACUGGUCCUCCCCAUGCCCCAUCUCUUCCUUGGAAACAGAGUCCCCAGCCCCACCCUGCCCCCGCCUGGGCUUGGUCACCAAAGGGAACAGCAGCCAGAAUAUUAAUAGUAAGCACCGAAUCAGUACGCUUGUAGCCAGCACUGACGUACUUUUGUUGACCUUGUGAGGUAUUAUUAUCCCUAUUUUACAGAUGAGGAAACAGAGGCUCAGUGAAGUACAGGGGCCUGUCCAGGGUCAUAAACCUGGUGAGUGCAGAACCAGAAUUAGAACACCCAUCCUUUGGAUUCCAGAGUGAUGUGUGUGUGUGUGUGUACGUGUACGUGUAUGUAUUUGUAUAUAUGUAUGGUAUGUAUGUGUAUAUAUAUGUAUACAUGUGUCUAUACAUAUUCUUUUCAAUUGACAGCACACAUGCACAAAUGGGCACAAAUCAUAAGUGUACAGUUUGGUGAAUUUUCCCAAACUAGACAGCACCCAGAUCCCAAAACAGAACAUCCCAGCCCUGCAGAAGCCCCCAUCCAUGUCCCCAUCAGUCACUACCCACCUCCCACGGGUAGUCACUAUUCUGACUUCUAAGAGCAAAGAUCAGUCUUGCCUGUUCUUGAAUUUGAUACAAAUAAAAUCAUACAGUAUGUAUUAUUUUGUAUACCACUUCUUUCACUCAGCAUUAUGUUUUUUUUUUUAAUUGAAGUAUAGUUGAUUUACAGUGUGUCAGCUUUUGGUGUUCAGUUAUAU